CGGACGGGUGAGUAAUGUCUGGGAAACUGCCUGAUGGAGGGGGAUAACUACUGGAAACGGUAGCUAAUACCGCAUAACGUCGCAAGACCAAAGAGGGGGACCUUGGGCCUCUUGCCAUCGGAUGUGCCCAGAUGGGAUUAGCUAGUAGGUGGGGUAAAGGCUCACCUAGGCGACGAUCCCUAGCUGGUCUGAGAGGAUGACCAGCCACACUGGAACUGAGACACGGCCCAG
rnacentral:rRNA from 1 species